AGCUUUGCUCAGUGGCAGUAUCGGAGCCAAUGAGGUUUAUCCGAGACACAAUUAUUGCUAAUUGAAAACAGAGAGUAGAUUUC
rnacentral:snRNA from 1 species